rnacentral:rRNA from 1 species
GGUGUUGGUUCAUGGCGUCAGAAGUGAACGCUGAGCGGCGCGUCCUAACACAUAGCGAGUCGAGACGAGGAAUGCUGCGAGCGUUGCUCGAGAGAUGUAGUAGUGGCGCACGGGUAGAGUAAACACAUAGAAUAAUACUACCCGAGGGUUUGGAAUAACCCGCCGAAGGGGCGUGCUAAUACCGGGUAAAAUCUUUCGGAGGGAUCUGAAAGAUCAAAGGUGGCCUCGUCCAUGGAUGCUACCGCCUGGGGAAGAGCCAGCGAUCCCAUUAGCUUGUUGGUAGGGUAAUGGCCUACCAAGGACUAUGAUCGGUAGCUGGUCUGAGAGGACGAUCAGCCACACUGGAACAGGAACACGGUCCAGACUACAUACGGGAGGCAGC